CUUCUCUAUCUAUGUUCUUGAAGUAACAUGUUCGGUAAGUUCUAGUUCCUCCCCAGAUAAUGCUUUUAUAAUUGCUAGCAGAAGUUUCAAAAGUUUCAUAGAGCGGCUUGAGAGGAGCCUUCUAGUAUGUUAUAAGUCCAUCAGAUUUGAAGUUAUACCCUUGUUCUUAUGAGUUAUUUAAUUAAGAUGGAGUAAGGUGUAUUCUU
rnacentral:lncRNA from 1 species